GUCGCUGCAAAUUCAGCGACCGGGUUUGGCGACCCGAUCAACAUAAGGCGCACAGGCGCCCCCAUCACGAUUGCAGGCGCUUUUUUU
rnacentral:sRNA from 1 species